rnacentral:rRNA from 1 species
GGUCACAGCUAUAUCACCCUGCAGUCCAAGACCGGUUACUCACUGAAGCUAAGCAGGGCUGAGCCUGGUUAGUACCUGGAUGGGAGACCACUAGGGAACACUAGGUUGCUGUUGGAA